rnacentral:tRNA from 1 species
CAGGAUGUGGGAUAGCGGCUGUCCACCGGUUUUGGGAACCGGCUUACGCAGGUUCAAAUCCUGCCGUCCUGA